UACGUAGGUGGCAAGCGUUAUCCGGAAUUAUUGGGCGUAAAGCGCGCGCAGGCGGUUUCUUAAGUCUGAUGUGAAAGCCCACGGCUCAACCGUGGAGGGUCAUUGGAAACUGGGGGACUUGAGUGCAGAAGAGGAAAGUGGAAUUCCAUGUGUAGCGGUGAAAUGCGUAGAGAUGUGGAGGAACACCAGUGGCGAAGGCGACUUUCUGGUCUGUAACUGACGCUGAGGCGCGAAAGCGUGGGGAGCAAACAGG
rnacentral:rRNA from 1 species